rnacentral:lncRNA from 1 species
CAAAACUGAGUGUUGCCUGCUUUCAAGGUUGACCUCUGAAGGUCUCCUACUGUUUCGUCUCCUUGCUCCCUGGGGAGAGCCGCUAAGUCUUUUGUUGACAGCUGAAGGCAGGAUGAAAUAAAAUCUCCAUUUGACAUGCUUAUAAAUCAGUUUUCCUAUGGGACAAGAUUGUUGGUGUUGGGUGCUCAUUGAAAAUAGUCUUACUGAUCAGAAAACUAACACAAUUGGUUCUUUAUUCACCUGAGGAUUCAGAUUGACUAAUCGAAGAUGAAUUCAUCUUGUAAUCUUUUAAAAAUAUGACAAAUGAUUAAAAAAACUUUUGUGGAAGAUGUCUGCAGAAGUUUCUAAUUUAAGAUUCAAUCUGAUUUUCAGAAAUGAUAUUUUGAUCUUGGGCUUGAGGGUCAUAAUUUCCUCUUUAAAAUGGACAUUAAAAUUCAGCACACAUUUGGAGUACAAGGAAGGGUGAUGAUCACAGAUAAGUUUUUCUUAUAAUUUUUUUCUAUUUGAAUACAUCUUAUUUCAAAAGAGAAUUCUUGCUUUUUAAUUUUGGAUACAGUGUAGGCUAAAUCCAACACUGUGGCAUCUUGACUACGGUGGCCUGCUCAAUUAAUUCUGAACAGUAAAUUGCCUUUUACAGGUCUUCAGGUAGCUGGGUAAGAAGCGGCAAGGCAAACAAAGGGUCCUGGUAAUUGAAAACAACUGAUGAGUCAAACCUAAGCAUUCGGCAUUGGGAGCACUGUCACUAAAACUGCAGCCUCAUUCAACAACACAUCCUUAUCGAGCACUUGCAGGUACUCCAUUGAAUGUUAGAAAUGCAUUGAUGAUGGAGACACAGCACCGGCUCAUGAGGACCUUCCAGCCUAGGCAGCAGGACUGGACAUACGCACUUUGGUAGAUUUAUUUUUAGAAAUUGGCUUAUGCAAGUGUGGGGCUGGCAAGUCUAACAACUGCAGGGCAGGUCAGGAGGCUGGAGACCCAGGGAAGAGUUGAUGCUGCAGUCUCUAGUCUGAAGGCAGUGCAGAGGCAGAAUUCCCUCUUUCUCGGAGGAUCUCAGGCUUUUUCUCCUAAGUCCUUCAACCAAGUGGAUGAGGCCACCCGCAUUAGAGAAGGUAUGUUUGCUUUCCUUGAAGUCUACUGAUGCAAAUGUUUAUCUCAUCUACACACUGCCUUCAUAGCAACAACUAGACUGAUGUUUGACCAUGCAACUGGGCACCAUAGCCCAGCCAAACUGGUACAUAAAAUGAAUUAUCACAGAUGGGGAGAGGCUUCAUGGGGGAAAGCUGGUUAGGAGACAUAACAGUACUCAAAGAAGCCUGAGAACAGGUCUUUAGCUGCUCCCAAAGUAUCCAAAUUGAUGGCCCAUCAGAAAUUAGGAAGCCAUCCCAUGGAAAGAUCUUUUCCCCAGCAACAGGUACAUGAGUAUGUGCUGUGUGUUGAACAGAAGGACUCCCACAAGAGGAUCCAAGGAAUAUGAUUGGUUUAGUCCUGGCCUCACCAUCUCCCUUAAAAAUGCCAGUUUAUUUCUCUGCAUAUUUACCUUAUUAUUUUUUCAUUGUCCUCUGCAGAUUUAUGAUUUUCAAUUGGUUCUUUUUUUUUUUUUUUUGAGAUGGAGUGCAGUGGCAUAAUCCC